CUUAGUGUCUCUUUUGUUUAACUGGCAAUGACAUAGAUUAGAGUAUGUUUUAAAUGUUCAUUGAAUUUAUUGAGUAAUUGUGUGUUCUCUGUUUUUAUUUUAUUUUAAAAGUAAAUUUGGGACCAUUCUCCAUUUAAAGGAAACAAGUCUCCUGAGAGCAUGACUGAUUCCAGGACUGGGCAGAGAAGGUUCAGGUCAAACCCAGAAAAUCUUGUUAUCUACAGAGAAAGGUGUUGACCUCAAGGGCGCCCUCAGUACACAUCCACACACUACGUUCUGUCUUGCAGCCUGCUCCCUGAAGAAACAAAAUGGCAACAGGCACUCUGCUGAGCACUUCCUAAGCAUCGCCUCAUGUAAUCCUGUCAACUUUCCCCAUAACGGAUGAGGAAACUCAGAUACAGAGGACGUAAGUGAUUUGGCCAAGGAUCAGCAGACUUGAACCACUCCAGAC